rnacentral:rRNA from 1 species
UUGGACGUGAAAGCUCCUGGCUCAACUAGGAGAGGUCGUUCAAAACUGCCUGGCUAGAGGGCGACAGAGGGAGGUGGAAUUCCCGGUGUAGUGGUGAAAUGCGUAGAUAUCGGGAGGAACACCAGUGGCGAAGGCGGCCUCCUGGGUCGCCCCUGACGCUCAGACGCGAAAGCUAGGGGAGCAAACGGGAUUAGAUACCCCGGUAGUCCUAGCUGUAAACGAUGUGGACUUGGCGUUGGUGGGGUCAAAUCCAUCAGUGCCGUAGCUAACGCGAUAAGUCCACCGCCUGGGGACUACGGUCGCAAGGUUAAAACUCAAAGGAAUU